CCUCUCCCGCGGCUCCAAAUUUUAGGCGCCCAAAAGUCGGUUCCCACCCCACCCCCGCGUCCGCGCGUUGCCCCUGUCAUCCAUCAUGCCGACUAGCGCUGUCUCCUCGGCAACUUCGUGCGGCUGUCCAUUGACGCUGCUGGAGGCGUUUGCGAGCAGCGCCGCCGCUCUUCGGCAGUUUGGCAUUCCGCGCGUUCGCGUCGUAGGGCUGAGUGAAGGAUGCACACAGCAGGAUUACGAGCGUCAGCGCGCGCGCCCAGACGGCAAGGACCUCGAGACGCUGCUUCAGGAGAGCAGCCUGCGUGGCCCACACGGUCGGCUUGGCACUGCCAGCCGUCGCACCCAAAACGAGCAAAGUUCCCUGCACGAGGCAACGGCGUAUCAAAACGUGCCGGUUGUGACGGAGCAGGAGUUUAUGAGCAAGUUUGUCUUCCAUUCUCGCCCGUGCGUCAUCCUCGACGCGCUGGAGGCGUGGCCAGCACUGCGCAAGUGGCGAGACGAUUGCUACGUGUUUGACCUCGACCACAGUCUGCCACUGGAGGCGGAGAAGAGGUCUGACUCUGAAGAAGAGCAGGACGAGGACGAGGACGCGAAGGAGGACGAUGAGGACACCGGCACCAAAGAGCCGGUCUGCAAGCACGCAGGUAAGACGAAGUCAACGGGGGAAGCAGUAAUGCGGCCCAAAAAUGUCACGGUGGCUCUGACGCCAAACGGGCGCGCUGACUCCGUCACCCGCGUCACGUACGCGACUGCCGCCGUGCCAGCUGAGGAGGCGGCCCGCGUGUACGCCGGCGAUGAGGCCUGCAAGCAGGCAGUGCUCCUCUCUCCACUCACCCACGCCGCAGACACAGACGGAGGCGGCGCGAUUCGGCAAGAGAAAAUUUUCAUGUACGCCGCAGAGCUGCGCGUGACUCUGCCGCAGCUGUACGGCCUUCUGCUGCGCAGUCCCAUGCGCUCGCCGCCGCACCCCAUCGACAUUGACAUGCGCACCUACGCGGACAAGCAGCGCACGCCCGCUAUCGCGUACGCGCAGCUGCAGAAUAACUGCCUGAACACGGAGUACACUCACCUGCGCGUUGACCUUCUCCCGAACGUGGAGCGGUUUGGCUGCCGUGUCUUCAGCAAGGAGGCAGUGGAGGCGGCCAACGUGUGGAUCGGCAUCCCUGCGUCGGUGUCAUCGAUGCAUCAGGACUGGGUCGAGAACCUCUACUCGGUGGUGCGCGGCGUGAAGGAAUUCGUGCUGAUUCCGCCGUGGGAGGGCCCCUUUGUGCCGAAGCCGGAGAUCCCCGCCGCGGCAUUCGCUAUCGAUGAGGCGGCGAGCCUGAUCGACCCCGAGGACGACCGCGCCGAAAGCUGGUCGCUUCAGUUCAAGCAAUACCCCGUGAAGGAUGGCACUGUGGUGCCUUGGAUGGACUUCGACCUCGCCGGCGCAGACGCGGAGGUGGACGCGGAGGGCGCUGCACGUGCUGAGCUGGAGGGCCGACUGCUAGAGAAACUUCGCGUUAGCACGUCGCCAUCGCCAUCAUUGUUGUCAAGCGCCGAGGCGAAGAGGGCUAGCAACGAUGAAGACGCGGCUGCCGCACGCGAGGAAGCCGGCCGCAAGCCGCUACACCCCUUAGUCGUCUACGUACACCCCGGCGAAACGCUUUACCUGCCCGCGAUGUGGCUUCAUCGUGUUGCCCAACACCCCGAUAGCACCGACCUGCACGCGCGUCAGCGGCACAGCGGGUCUGCCAACGCGGCAGCAUCCGCCUCGCCACCGCCACUCCCCCUGACCGCCGCGGUGAACUACUGGUAUGACAUGAGCUUCAGCAACCCGUCGGUCGUGCUUUUGCGUGAGUUUGGGCUCCUGUUGUGAGGUGGGGGCUCGCUGCGCCGGGUCGGCGUUCCAUCGACUCGUUCUCUCUCUCUCCCCACCCCUCCCCCCUUCACGGAGGCGGAUGCACCUCUUUUUUUGGUCAACACGAAGUACAGGCGACGGGGAGAGAGAGGUGGGGGAGGGGCUGUGAGUAUCUGCGCUCGGCGGGUAGUGAAGCCAAUAGUCAUCGACUCACGGAUGGAAGAAAAGAGGGGAUUGAGGCUGGAGUCAUGUGGGCAGUUUUUGCGGGUGGUUUUGGAGGGUGUGGAUGUGAGUGUGCGCACCACUGCUAACGUCGGAGCGUGCUUGAUGCAGCAGCGUGAAUCGCGUAACCGUGCAACUAAAGAGCCGGCACCACC
rnacentral:misc_RNA from 1 species